rnacentral:lncRNA from 1 species
UGAGGCAUUGGAGCAGGGCAUUUUGAUAGCGGCUGGAGGGCAGGCAGCUCAACCUCUAAACCCCCCUGGUCUGGGCACCAAGUCCUGUCCUGGGCACGGGACACAGUCCUCCAGCAAGACCAAACCCAGCUUCUCUACAGCACCAGGAAGAAGGCAAGCUGGGCCACCAGGGCGCGGCCCCAGGAAGGAAAAUCCUCCAUGGUCCUGUUGACAGAUGUGGUAUCAAAUGAAUUGUUCUCUGCUUAGACACGACUUUGAUAUUUAUUGGUUCGAAUUGCUCGGCUGACUCAGUCUUGCUUCCAUUUUUCUGGACAUCCCAUCUGAAUGGAGUGGUUGGUCUCUUAUGUCUGGCCUCUUUCACUGAAGAGUCUCGUUUUUGAGGUUCAUCCAUGUGGUUGCUUGUAUCUGUGAUUCAUUCAUUUUUAUUCCUGUAUAGUAUUCUGUUGUAUGGAUAUACCACAUUUUGUCUUUCCAUUAUAUGUGAAUUAAUUUUAUCUACACCCAGAAGUAGUUAAAAUUCGAGACUCUGAUUACACUGGACCUAUCCAAGAUCUGAGAUCAACAACUCAUCUCAAAAUCCUUAAGUUGACCACAGCAGCAUCGUCCCUUUUGCAGUGUAAGGAGCCCAGCUGGGACAAUGUGUGAAUCAACGCAUGAAGGAGUGAGUGAGCAGCUAACCAAAUGAAAGAAUACUCAGAUAUCUGGGGUACAGUUCCCCUCCAGGUUUGCACAGCAUCUGCUGAAGUCUCCACUAGAAACUCAAUGGAAGGUCCCCACCGGAAACUGAAAGUCUCCUAGAGUGGCUUUGAGUUGCGGUGUCACCCUCCCUGCAGAUCCACAGGUGAGGGAGGCUGGGGCAGAUGAAAAAUACCAACUUGAGGGUCUGUGGCCACACCGUGCUGCUCCCCAAGGCCCCUCAGAAUUUCACUGCCCAAUAUGGUAGCGCCCAGCCUGAAACGUGGCCAGUGUGAAUUGAGAUGGGCUGGAAAUGCAUCAGACUUCCAAGAGCUGGACAAAAACCAUAUACUUCCAUCCAGCUGUUUGGCAUUGGAUACUGCUGCCUCUGCUUGACUUGAGAUUGUGUGAGAAAAGCUGUGUUUAGACAACUGAAAACCACGAGCUUGAAAGUAGUGGGGGCACCCUCUUGGAGACUCCAGUUGCUCACCAGCUUGGACAAACCACUGGACUCAAAUGAUCAGUGGGCACAUGGUAGGUACUCAGGAAGUCAUUGCCGAGUGCUCAGUGCAUGCUUGUUGAAUGAGUAAAUGAGGUCAGGCUUCAGCAUGCAAACACUCGCUAUAAAGCAGGAACCCUGUGCCCUGAGUGCACAAAAUAGAUAUCGGUGAGUGCAUAUGGGGGCAGUAAGUGUAUGGAUUGGAUAUAGGUGGGUGUAUAUGGUGAGGAGUAUGGAUUGGAUACAGGUGGGUGUAUACAGAGGGGAGUGAGUGUAUGGAUUGGAUACAGUGGGUGCAUAUGGGGGGAGUGAGUUUAUGAACUGGAUACAGGUGGGUGAAUUUGGGGGAGUGAGUGUAUGGAUUGGAUACAGGUGGGUGCGUAUGGGAGGGUGAGCAUAUGGAUUGGAUAUAGGUGGGUGCAUAUGGGAGGGUGAGUGUAUGGAUUGGAUACAGGUGGGUGCAUAUGGGAGGGUGAGCAUAUGGAUUGGAUAUAGGUGGGUGCAUAUGGGAGGGUGAGUGUAUGGAUUGGAUAUAGGUGGGUGUAUAUGGGAAAGUGAGCAUAUGGAUUGGAUAUAGGUGGGUGCAUAUGGGAGAGUGAGCAUAUGGAUUGGAUAUAGGUGGGUGCAUAUGGGGGACAGUGAAUGUCUGGAUUGGAUACAGGUGGGUGCAUAUUGGGGGAGUGAGUGUCUGGAUUAGAUACAGGUGGAUGCACAUGGGAGGAAUGAGUGUACAGAACGAAUACAGGUGGAUGCAUAUAUUGGGAGUGAGUAUACAGAGAGGAUACAGGUGGAUUGAGUUGUUACAACCAACGACAGGAAGCACGUGCAAGGCUCUCGGCAUUGCACAAAGCACUCCGUAGGCAAAAUCACACUGGCGCCAAUAGCAAUCCUGGGAGAUGUACUCAUUAUUAAUAAUAUUGUUGUCAUUUUAUAGAGAAGGAACACAGGCUCAGACAUCAGUGCCAUAUCUGAAGACAUUCAGCUAAUAACAGGAUGGAGUCCAAUCUGAACAACUGUCACGCUGAGCCUAAUUGCUGAAGAUGGUUGAAGGCACUGGGAGGCUGGAGUUUCCUGGAGGUGGUUGGUGGCCAACCGUCAAUUAUUUGGGCUGCUGUGCAGUGGGGAUAGAAGGAUGAUUAGAAUCCACAGACAACCCACUGGCCUUUGUUUACCAUUAACUUGUGUUUUCUCCACCAGCCAAGCUCCUCCAGACCCAGGAGAUGGCUCUUCCCGCUGUGUAGCACACUCCUUCCAGUCAAGGGGUCUUGCACUGCUAUUUCCCCUUCUGCUUUGCUUGGUUCGUUCUUACUGACCCUCCAAAUAUUGAAGGAAUGAAUGGAGAAAUAAGUAAAUGAGAGAUGUGGCCAAGAGUCUCCAAGAGAGGAAAUUUAAAAAUCCUAUACCUGUGAGGAACUGGCCCACUUGCAAAAGGCGGACUCAUUUGUCACUGUGUUUGCUGGCUGCUCGCACCACACAGUUUCCAGCCUAGGCAUUAUUUCCAACCUCUUUUUCCAAACGGUCUUUCUAAGGUACAGAAAAUGGACAUAAAAUCGCCCAACGUAGUUGAGAGGUAAGGAGUAAAAGCCGGAAUUUGAACUCCUAAUCUCCUGCCACGAUUUCAUGCUGCCUCUGGGUAAUCUCCCAGCACAUUGCUUAAUCAGCUGCUGAGUCAUUGAGAGCUGGCAGAACCAGCUUCCUGCUGAGGCAGAGUGGGAGGAGGCCCGUCUGGGAGCAGCACACUGAAGGAAGGGAGGAGCAGGUGAUGUUUGGCACAAUCGGAUUGGUUCCCAUGAGGUCCAGGGCUGCGGCUCCUACACAAGGCACUUUUUGCACAUGGUAGGCUUCACGGGGUGCAACCUCUGUGUUGUUAGAAGAACCUCGUGCUUGCUAGGAUGCUCUGCUGUCAUUAUCUUGAAAUUCUUAGUCACAUUAAAACACGGGAGCCUACAUGUUUAUUUUGCACUGGACCCUGCAAAUUAGCCAGUCCUGGUACUGAGGGCAGGUCCCCGGGUGAGUCUCACACAGCCUCCAUCCUUUGGUAAAGCAGCCUUCCUGAUUUAGCAAAUGCCUUACCAGAAAGCCUUUUCCUUGAAGAUUCUUUAACUUUUGUCUUCCCUGGCAAAGCUGUUUCCUUAUGGUAAAGCACCCAGCUCAUAGCAGAUAUUCAAUCCAUGAAGUAGCUCUGUCAGCAGCUGUCAUCAUGAAGACUUUGCAGCCUGCGGGUGGUAGCACUCUGAAUCAUCAGUCUGUCUCGCUCCUGUAGCAAAUGCACGAUCCGGGAAAGCAUGUCCCAGGCUUUGUUCUGGAGAAGAUUUCUCCAGCUAUCAGAUGGUGUCUGUCAUCACAAUAGCUUAGGAGACGCUGCUCACUCCAUCCUCCUCACUAAGUGUCACAGUACACUUGGGUAUGUACAAGUCUCUGAGAAGUCCAGCAGCAAAGACACCUUUGUGUUUUGCUGAUUCUAGCCUUUCCUAGACUAGAAGUCUUUUUUUCUAGUCUAGGAAAAGACU